rnacentral:rRNA from 1 species
UACAGAGGUCUCAAGCGUUGUUCGGAUUCAUUGGGCGUAAAGGGUGCGUAGGUGGCGCCGUAAGUCAGGUGUGAAAUUUCGGAGCUUAACUCCGAAACUGCAUUGAUACUGCGGUGCUUGAGGACUGGAGAGGAGACUGGAAUUACGGUGUAGCAGUGAAAUGCGUAGAGAUCGUAAGGAAGACCAGUGGCGAAGGCGGGAUCGUCCUGGACAGUUCCUGACACUGAGGCACGAAGGCCAGGGAGCAAACGGG